rnacentral:rRNA from 1 species
AUUCCUACGGGAGGCAGCAGUAGGGAAUAUUGCACAAUGGAGGAAACUCUGAUGCAGCGACGCCGCGUGAGUGAUGAAGGCCUUCGGGUUGUAAAGCUCUGUUCUCAGGGAAAAAGAAAGUGAUGGUACCUGAGGAGAAAGGACCGGCUAACUUCGUGCCAGCAGCCGCGGUAAGACGGGGGGUCCUAGCGUUGUUCGGAAUCAUUGGGCGUAAAGGGGGCGUAGGUGGCUAUGCAAGUCAGGAGUGAAAGCCCUGGGCUUAACCCAGGAAGUGCUUUUGAAACUGCAUAGCUUGAGUGUGGGAGAGGAUAGUGGAAUUCCAGGUGUAGUGGUGAAAUACGUAGAUAUCUGGAGGAACACCGUUGGCGAAGGCGGCUCACUGGACAGAUACUGACGCUGAGGCACGAAGGCCGGGGGAGCAAACAGGAUUAGAUACCCUGGUAGUCCACGCCGUAAACGAUGGGCACUAGGUGUCGGAGGUAUCGACCCCUCCGGUGCCGCAGUAAACACAUUAAGUGCCCCGCCUGGGGAGUACGACCGCAAGGUUGAAACUCAAAGGAAUUGACGGGGGCCCGCACAAGCGGUGGAGCAUGUGGUUCAAUUCGACGCAACGCGAAGAACCUUACCCAGGCUUGAACUGCGAGUGACACGCUCCGAAAGGAGCUUUCCGCAAGGACACUCGUAGAGGUGCUGCAUGGCUGUCGUCAGCUCGUGUCGUGAGAUGUUGGGUUAAGUCCCGCAACGAGCGCAACCCUUGUCCUUUGUUGCUAACGGUUCGGCCGAGCACUCGAAGGAGACUGCCCGCGACAAGCGGGAGGAAGGUGGGGAUGACGUCAAGUCAGCAUGGCCUUUAUGUCCGGGGCCACACACGUKCUACAAUGCGCGCCACAGAGGGUCUGCCAACCCGCAAGGGGGAGCUAAUCCCAAAAAAGCGCGCUCAGUUCGGAUUGGGGUCUGCAAUUCGA